UACGGAGGGAGCUAGCGUUGUUCGGAAUUACUGGGCGUAAAGCGCACGUAGGCGGCUAUUCAAGUCAGAGGUGAAAGCCCGGGGCUCAACCCCGGAACUGCCUUUGAAACUAGGUAGCUAGAAUCUUGGAGAGGUCAGUGGAAUUCCGAGUGUAGAGGUGAAAUUCGUAGAUAUUUGGAGGAAUACCUGUGGCGAAGGCGGCCUUCUGGACCGGUCCUGACGCUGAGACGCGAAAGCGUGGGGAGCAAACAGG
rnacentral:rRNA from 1 species